rnacentral:misc_RNA from 1 species
UCCCGCACAAGCGGCGGAGCAUGCGGAUUAAUUCGAUGCAACGCGAAGAACCUUACCUGGCCUUGACAUGUCGAGAACUUUCCAGAGAUGGAUUGGUGCCUUCGGGAACUCGAACACAGGUGCUGCAUGGCUGUCGUCAGCUCGUGUCGUGAGAUGUUGGGUUAAGUCCCGCAACGAGCGCAACCCUUGUCCUUAGUUGCCAGCACGUAAUGGUGGGAACUCUAAGGAGACCGCCGGUGACAAACCGGAGGAAGGUGGGGAUGACGUGGUACACCUGAAC